GCCUCAGUUCUGAGCAGUAUGGAAUCUCAGUCAGACUGUGUGGAAGCAUGUUGUUUAGGAAGAAGUUGAUUUUUACCCAGUAAAGCUCUUCUUCUCUAAAACUCUGCAUUCUUAAUUUGCGCUGGGCGCCACUGGCCCUGUUUCCUGGCUUGGUGGCCGUGAAGGCAAGAACCACCAGAGCAGUUUUGGCCAACACAGAAGAAACGGCGAGAGAGAAGAUGGUUCCAAAAGCCGUUUGUGGGAGGCAACAGGUGAGGAAGAGGAAGGAGCAGAGGAAGCAGAGCAGGAGGAAGAUGAGGUAGGUGAGUCUCGGUUGUUGGCUUUGACGAUUGGCGUCUCGGUGUUUAAUGAAGAUCGCCAGCACAGAGAUGUGAGGAGAAAGAGGGAGAAGGCAAGAGAAGCGCAAGCAAAGCCGAGAUUAUCUUCAUAAGAAAGGAAGUUGACGUUCUUGGGGAUACUAGACUGGUUUGGGUGUUGAUCGUCUGGGCACUUUGUGCAGUGAGUGGCACCUGGAAUGAGCAAAACAACUGCUUAGAGAUCUGUUCCUUUUAGGGUGGAGACAGAAGGAUCCAUUCUCCAUAUACAGGAGGCAUGUGAGAAAUGGGCCGUGCCAAGGGGAAUUCACGUAACAUUAACACAGUGUGAGCUUUGAGAGAGAUGCAUUUCAACAGCAGAGCUGUGUAGAAAAUGUUCCAGUACACCGGGGUAUUCACUCUCCAUCUUCCCUGACAAUGGGCCACGUUAGCUGAGGCAUUUUUGGCAUUAUUUCCAGCUCUCCUACUCCACUCUUGAUUCUCAAAACAACCUCAUGAGGUAGCUCAGAAGAGAGAGAGAUUGGCCCAUAGCUGCCCAGUGAGGAGCCGCGUGAUGGAGUGGAGAGUUGAAUCAGGGUCUCCCAUGCGCUUGGUGGCCCUCACUACAUAUGGCUCCCCCCGCCAAGACCCCUGGGAGCUGUCCUUCAUGGAUAUGCAACUCCCAUUGCCCUCCCCUUGUUGAAAUCGGUUGGAGAAAGUCAUCCGCUUUAAAGGAAUAGUGGUGAUGUGACCCUAAUUGAGCCAAUUCCAUACCAAAUGCAACCUCCUGCUCUGAAGGCAUGCAAGAACUCAAUCAAAAUGGCCAAAUUUUUUAUUCAUUCUUAAAAUUGAGGUGGUG
rnacentral:lncRNA from 1 species